rnacentral:rRNA from 1 species
UGCAAGUCGAACGCUUUGUCUUUAAUUGAUCUGACGAGCUUGCUCUGAUGUGAUUUUAUCUGACAAAGAGUGGCGAACGGGUGAGUAACACGUGGGUAACCUACCUCUUAGCAGGGGAUAACAUUUGGAAACAAGUGCUAAUACCGUAUAAUACCAACAACCGCAUGGUUGUUGGUUGAAAGAUGGUUCUGCUAUCACUAAGAGAUGGACCCGCGGUGCAUUAGCUAGUUGGUAAGGUAACGGCUUACCAAGGCAAUGAUGCAUAGCCGAGUUGAGAGACUGAUCGGCCACAAUGGGACUGAGACACGGCCCAUACUCCUACGGGAGGCAGCAGUAGGGAAUCUUCCACAAUGGGCGCAAGCCUGAUGGAGCAACGCCGCGUGUGUGAUGAAGGGUUUCGGCUCGUAAAACACUGUUAUAAGAGAAGAACGGCACUGAGAGUAACUGUUCAGUGUGUGACGGUAUCUUACCAGAAAGGAACGGCUAAAUACGUGCCAGCAGCCGCGGCAAUACGUAUGUUCCAAGCGUUAUCCGGAUUUAUUGGGCGUAAAGCGAGCGCAGACGGUUAUUUAAGUCUGAAGUGAAAGCCCUCAGCUCAACUGAGGAAUGGCUUUGGAAACUGGAUGACUUGAGUGCAGUAGAGGAAAGUGGAACUCCAUGUGUAGCGGUGAAAUGCGUAAAUAUAUGGAAGAACACCAGU